rnacentral:rRNA from 1 species
UACGAAGGGGGCUAGCGUUGUUCGGAAUUACUGGGCGUAAAGGGCGCGUAGGCGGUGUGUCAAGUCAGGCGUGAAAGCCCCGGGCUCAACCUGGGAACCGCGCUUGAGACUGGCACGCUCGAGUUCGGGAGAGGAUGGUGGAAUUCCCAGUGUAGAGGUGAAAUUCGUAGAUAUUGGGAAGAACACCGAUGGUGAAGGCAGCCAUCUGGACCGACACUGACGCUGAGGCGCGAAAGCGUGGGGAGCAAACAGG